rnacentral:rRNA from 1 species
GUGAGGAAUAUUGGACAAUGGGCGCAAGCCUGAUCCAGCCAUGCCGCGUGCAGGAAGACGCAUCUAUGGUGUGUAAACUGCUUUUGUACGGGAAGAAACACUCCCUCGUGAGGGAGCUUGACGGUACCGUAAGAAUAAGGAUCGGCUAACUCCGUGCCAGCAGCCGCGGUAAUACGGCGGAUCCAAUCGUUAUCCGGAAUCAUUGGGUUUAAAGGGUCCGUAGGCGGUUUAAUAAGUCAGUGGUGAAAGCCCAUCGCUCAACGAUGGAACGGCCAUUGAUACUGUUAGACUUUAAUUACAAGGAAGUAACUAGAAUAUGUAGUGUAGCGGUGAAAUGCUUAGAGAUUACAUGGAAUACCAGAUGCGAAGGCAGGUUACUACUUGUGGAUUGACGCUGAUGGACGAAAGCGUGGGGAGCGAACAGGAUUAGAAACCCGAGUAGUCC